AAGUCGUAACAAGGUUUCCGUAGGUGAACCUGCGGAAGGAUCAUUCAUAAUAAGUGUUUUAUGGCACUUUUUAAAUCCAUAUCCACCUUGUGUGCAAUGUCAGGGUUGAUUUCUCUCGAGAGAUCAACCCCAAACAUCAACUAUAUCUCAACUCUUUGUCUGAAAAAUAUUAUGAAUAAAACAAUUCAAAAUACAA
rnacentral:misc_RNA from 1 species